CGGGCCCGCACAAGCAGCGGAGCGUGUGGUUUAAUUCGAUGAUACACGAAGAACCUUACCAGGGUUUGACAUGCUAGUGGUAGGGAUCCGAAAGGUGACCGACCCUCGGGGAGCUAGCACAGGUGCUGCAUGGCUGUCGUCAGCUCGUGUCGUGAGAUGUUCGGUUAAGUCCGCUAACGAGCGCAACCCUUGCUGUGUGUUACAUGUGUCACACGGGACUGCCGGUCUUAAACCGGAGGAAGGUGGGGAUGACGUCAAGUCAGCAUGGCCUUUAUGUCCUGGGCUACACACACGCUACAAUGGCCGGUACAAUAGGUUGCGAAGCCGCGAGGCGGAGCCAAUCCUCAAAGCCGGCCUCAGUUCAGAUUGCAGGCUGCAACCCGCCUGCAUGAAGAUGGAGUUGCUAGUAACCGCAGGUCAGCUAUACUGCGGUGAAUACGUUCCCGGGGCUU
rnacentral:rRNA from 1 species